UGCAACUCGACUACAUGAAGCUGGAAUCGCUAGUAAUCGUAGAUCAGCAUGCUACGGUGAAUACGUUCCCGGGUCUUGUACACACCGCCCGUCACACCACGAGAGUUUGUAACACCCGAAGCCGGUGGAGUAACCUUUUAGGAGCUAGCCGUCGAAGGUGGGACAAAUGAUUGGGGUGAAGUCGUAACAAGGUAGCCGUAUCGGAAGGUGCGGCUGGAUCACCUCCUUU
rnacentral:rRNA from 1 species